ACUGUUAAAUUAGAUGGCGACUCUGCAUUAAACGUAUUUAUUUAAUUAAUCGGCGAUCAUAUUUCACCAGAGGACUAAGAUAAAACAACUCGAUUUAAAAUAUGAGCAGUUUUAGUGGAUCUGACGUUGAGGGAAAAAGUAUUUCGCUUUUUGUUUGGAGAUGAACGAGACAACACGAGGCGACAUAAAUAUGACCAACCAGAUCCCAAGUAGACAGGAACAAAUGAAGAUAUAGCGCAUAGAAAGACUUAUUCUUGGUGAUCAACUGCUAUUGACAUUUUUGAAUCGGGGCAAAUGUGGAGUGAAGAAAAACGUUUGCAACACAUCCAUUCCAGAGUGCUGUGACAGAUAAAACUGACACGCUUGAUGAGGACACAGUCAAAGCUUUAAAAG